UGUUACCUCUAGAGCUGCCCAUGAGCUGAUAGAGGAUCACAGCCUCCUCUCGUGGGUCCUGCACGGCUUAGAGAAAAGGUUUCUGGAGAACCAGGUGAUAAAUAAAAUGAUUUCCUUACUCCA